rnacentral:rRNA from 1 species
GUCUAAGACCAAAUCACCCACAAUGUGCCUGAUCUCAUCAGAUCUCCGAAGCUAAGCAGAGUUGAGUCUGGCCAGUGCUUGGAUGGAUGACCACCAUGCACAGCAGGUCGUUAUCGGCU